rnacentral:lncRNA from 1 species
UAGUCACAAUUUUAACACAAAUUCUACGUGAAAACCCAUACUCUAAACAGUUUAGAAGUUUGGGACAGAAUGAAAAACUUGAUGACUACAGGCUGAUCUUGAACCUUGACCAAAGAUUAGACCAAAGAACAUACAAUGCACCAAUAACUUUAGAGGUAGCUGCAGUGUGGAUCGAGGGAAAUGAAAGAAGAAAUACCUUUGACAAGAAUGUAAUACUACAUGGAAACAACAACGAAAUACAAGGCAUCAAAUCAUACUAUGGCUGCUAUGAUCCAUUGUCUUAUCCUCUAUUCUUUCCAAGAGCUGAACUCGGUUGGCAUUGAAAUAUCCCAAGGGCCAAUACAAUAUUGGAAGAAUUGAGAAAUGAUAAUGUUGAUCGCAACAAUAGUGACAACGACCCAGGUUAGAAUUUCAUAUACUUUUGUCUUCUAAAUUUAGUUUACUAAUAUGAAACAACUACAUAAAUAUUCCUCUAACUUUAGCGUUCCAAUUCUUACACAGAUUCAAGCCGUAAGCUGUGGGUAACCAUGAGAGAAUAUUACUGCUAUAAAUUCCAUGCAAAACCAAGCAUAUUCAACCCAAUAUUGCAUGGUGGUAGACUUUUUCAGCAGUUUGCCGUUGAUACACACAUCAAGAUUGAGAGCUCCAGAUUGGACUUCAUAUGGCAUCAUCAGAAAGAAAUAAGGGCAGAUCUAUACAAAGGCCUCCUGGAUAGCAUUCAAGAAGGAGAACAAAAGGGAGAUAAAGUAGGAAAAUGAACGGUGCUAGCAUCAUCGUUUAUUGGAGGGCCAAGAGAUAAAUUGCGACGAUAUCUAGAUGCUAUGGCUUUAGUAAGCAAAUAUGGAAAGCCAGACAUAUUCCUAACAAUGACCUGCAACCCAAACUGGGAAGAGAUCACCCGAGAACUAGAGUUUGCACAAACACCUCAAGAUCCCCCAGAUCUCGUGGUUAGGGUUUUCGGGGCAAAACUGGAAGAAAUGAAGAAUCAAUUGUUUAAAAAGCACAUUCUUGGAAAGGUAAAGGCAUAUACCUAUGUUGUAGAGUUCCAAAAGAGAGGCCUACCUCAUGCACACUUCUUGCUGAUAAUGACCGGAAAAUACAAGUAUACAUGUCCAGAGCAAUAUGACAGAAUAAUCUAUGCCGAGCUGCCAGACAAGCACGAGUAUCCAGAUCUAUAUAAAAUGGUCAUCAAACAUAUGAUGCAUGGUCCUUGCGGCAUAUUAAACAGAAAUUGCCCUGCACAAAGAAUCGAGCAUCUUGCAAAAAUAAUUAUCCAAGACCAUUUAAUGAAACUACAAUUCAAGGCAAGGACUCCUACCCAUUGUAUAGAAGACGAAAUGACGGUCGCACUGAAACAGUCCGGAACUGUAAACUAGAUAACAGAUGGGUUGUUCCUUACAACCCAUACCUAUUGCACUUUUUCAACUGCCACAUAAAUGUUGAGGUAUGCUCAAGCAUUAAAGCCGUUAAGUAUCUGUUCAAAUACAUCUACAAGGGACAUGACCGGGCCUCUGUAUCUGUAACUGGAGUAGAUGAUGAAGGAGAAAUUGAUGAAAUUAGACAGUACAAAAACGCACGGUGGGUUACACCUCCAGAAUUAAGCAUGCAAGUGCUGAGAGCCGAUAUAUAUCUUUGACUCUAUUGGAAGUGUUUGAAGUGAGCAAUACAUCAUUUUAUAUAAAUCCAAUCCAUUAGAUCACAUUAAAAUUCAUGAGACAAGUCUCUCUGUCCCCGUUAAGUCAUAUAUGAAGGGUCAAAACAAACAGGUAUAAAAAACAUUGACUAGUACAUAAACCGUAUGUAUAAUUGGUGGUAGGUUUGCCGGUAUGUAAAAGUUAUAUUGUUUAUGCGGAUCUAUCUAUUUAUACCUAUAGUAAUCACAGAUGCUCUAGAAAAUCCCACGUCAACGAGAAAGAGAAAAUAUCUAGCCAUUGAUCCAUCGUGGCCCCCUUUUUAGCCGUUCAGAUUUAAAAAAGUACAAUUAGUUAUUAGUUACUUGCAUUUGGUUAACUUUGCUAGGUUGUUCUAAGGAUAAUAGGUGCAAAUGGACCGUGGGGCCACUGGUGGACGUGCGUUCCUUGACAGGGCAUGCCUACACGAGAACUAAGGAAGACCGGCUGUGUGGACGUGGAGGAUGUGAUAUUACACGAUGCUGGAAUAUGGACGGUUGCCACGUUAAUCCUCGGGUACAAAUUAGAAUUCAUUACAAUCUUUAGGAAAAAUAUGUACGGAUGUAUGAUCCGUUAGAGGAAAAAGUGAAUAGGAUGGACCAAAAUGUUGGAUCCUUUGUUGGAAAAAUGAUUUGAAUUUUGGCAAUGUGAGUAAGGAUUUCCUUGGUUUUGAGAGAGAGCCAAAUAGGAUUACAUUAUUUGUUAAUGUUCGUCUCAUAUUGAUUUUCAACCUUAAAAAAAUGAUGCACUAUUUCAACUACAAUCACAUUAAACGAAAAAUAAAAUUCGAUCCAUCUUGGCCUCUCGAGCUAUGUGAGUAGGAGAACAGCAUAGCAAAGAUAAACGAUCUAAUUAAUCUUCCUAGGAAGAGCUUUGAACUCUUGGAAACAACAAAAUGAAAUCAUGCAAUUCGAUUGGCAAAGUGACAAUACAUCAUCGGUACAAUGAUCAAAAAUAGCGAUUCUUGGCGAGGUACAAAUGUAUGAUCCAUUGUUGGGAAAGCAAAUAAGACGGACUAAACUUUUUGUCACAUUGAUUUUCAGCCACUAAAAAAAGCGAUGAGGUAAGAUAGUCAUUUGUUUCUAAAUACACAGUACAACAUAGUCAUUGUUUCUAGUCCGUUGCGGUGCGGUGAGAUAAGAAUAAAUAAUCACAUGACAAGACAUGGCAUGGCAGGCUAUGACGCAACAUCAUGACUAGGGAACACCAAAAGCACCAAGGAAGAUGAACAGAUUCUUGCCGAUGUCCCAUCAUAGAGCAAAUAAAGCAGGAUAAAAGGGGAUUGAUCUUCGAACUAGAAAAUAGGGGAUCGAUCUUUCCAUUGAUCUUACAAAUAAAAGAUAACAGCAUAGCAAAGAUGGCCAGGGUUCCAACAAAAUCUAAAUCUAAAAUUACUAAUUAACAGCAUAGCAAGAUAACAGCUGGCCAGGGUUCCAACAAAAUCUAAAUCUAAAGUUAUUAAUUAACAGCAUAGCAAAGAUAACAGCAUUGAUCUUCCACUAGCGCGGCUUGCUCACUCCAUUCACCCCUCAUUCCCGGCCAUGACGUGGUGGCGGCUCCACUUCUUAUGGUUCUCGCCCCUCAGGGGGUGGACCCAGAAUGUGGUCCUUGACCUCAUUCAGGAUCCCCCACCGAUGCCUCGUUCCAGGGUAGACAGGGCACGCGAAGGUGUUGUCAGCGCGGUGAAAGACGCGUAGAGCAUCACCCCGGGGGAAGGGCGUGUGGUAGUCGCGGCGCCAGUCGUCAGAUGAGUCCGUCAGUUUGGGAGUCGGAGUCGAACCCAUCAGCUGGAAGGGUCACAAUCAAGGUCAACUCUUGAUGCGGUGAUGAGGGCGUGAGGGUGGAGGAAGCCGCCCCCACUGUCGGAGGAGCCCGGGAACGCACCGGGGAGCCCACAAUAGCUCCGCAGCGACCAUCCACGAGCGAUAGCAGGUUGAGGUCGGCGGCGUUGGAGCGCGAUCCCGACGACGAGUGCAAUGGCCACCCAAGGUCACUGGCGUCAGAGUGGGAUACCGACGAGGAAGCACCGCCGUAACGGGACGACCCCACUGCGUGGACGUAGCGCCAUAGCGCUGCCGUGAAGUUGCGGGCAGUGGCGCGGCAGUAGCACGGCGACAACCCGCCACAGGAGCACGACGACGAUGAGGGGGACCUUUAGUCCUGAAUGAUUAGUUUCGGUUGAUUUUUCGAGAGAUACGAGGCUUACCAAGCAGAACUAAUGCUCAUAUUUUCCAGAAUCAAUGCUCAUAUUUCCACUAGUGAGUGCAAGGUUCCCUCGACGCAUAAGACGAUUUAUCCACCGUGGUUCCUAACCACAAGUAGAAAUGCACACAUUUACUAGGGGCGGUUCCUUAAGAGAAGUGUAUUUUCCAGGGGCAGUUCCUUAAGAUAAGUACCGAUAGAAAUCUGGCAGUGUUCAGGUACAGUGCGCGAAAGCAACUGCUAGUGACUGUAGAUAACGAUAUCCAUCGAUAGAAAUAAAGGCUAGUAUCACAUCUAAAAACUAGCUUUGAUGUUCAGCUCAGAUCCGUGCCUCUAACUUUUCGUGCUCAUUAUAUAAAUCAUAAAUUUCCUAAAAAAUUAACAAAAUCGUGCAUAAAAAUCCAGAAUGUUUAUCAAAAGGUAAGAUUCAAAUCAGUGGUAGAUGUUCAGGAUUAAAUACUUUCUUACUCCACAUAUUUUUGUUAGGUGAGGAGGCAUUGCAAGUUUGCAACUGUUGAAUGAAAUCCGUACUUCGAUGGAACUAGGAGGUAGUUGGUUUGAAGUAUAUACCAUUUAGAUAUCCAAUAAUCCUUCCUUUUAUUUCAAUAAAAAUAUUGGUUCCACGAUCAUCUAGGAGUAUGGUCUUGUACUCUCUUCUUGUUCGAGCUUUAUGUGAAUCCAACCCUAUGGAGCCAUCAAGAUAGUAACUAUACGGGAGUGAUGAGAAGUUAAAGGGAUGAUUGAGAUAAGACAUGUGGCAUCCAUCAAGAUAGGGAUCCUCCAUGGAACUGAAUUCAAUGCUUGAUAUCGAACCUGUCCUGAAGAUGAAAAGUUUCUCUAUAAAUUUAGACGUCCUAAACUUCAAUUCUUGUGCACACAGAAUCUACUCGCAGUCGUAGGCUCGUAGCUUAUAGACAAAUGACAUUGCAAGCAAUGGCGUUGCCCUACUUGCAAGAACUUGUCAUCUCCACACUUCUCGUUGUAUCAUUGUGCAUGUACAUUAAGUUCUGGAGGCUGAGAAACCCGUUGUACCCCAUGGACUGGCCGGUUGUGGGCAUGCUCCCUUCCCUCGUUGCCAAUCUCCACAACUUCCACGACGUACUCACUGUCUUCCUUGCCACCAACGGGUGUAACUUCAAGGCGCGAGGGCCGGUAGCAAGUGGCAUGCGGUUCUUCGUCACCGCUGAACCGGCAAACGUCCGGCACAUCUUCACCUCCAACCAUGCAAACUACCCCAAGGGCGAGGAUUUUGCUGAAAUCUUCGACAUCUUUAGCGGCACCCUCUUCACCAUUGAUGGUGAGGCCGGCCGCCAGCAGAGAGCCAUGUUCCAGAACAUCUUCAGCAAUCCACGGUUACUUGCCUUGAUGGCAAGUUGCUGCCGUGACAAGGUGGUGAACGGACUCCUCCCGUUCUUGACCCGCAUGGGGAGCACCAGGACAACGUUCGACAUGCAGGAUUUGAUCACAAGGUUGGUGUUCGACCUUACUGCCACGCCGAUCUUCGGUGUCGACCCGGGUUGCCUGUCCAUCAGCAUGCCGUCUAUCCAUGUUGCAACCGCCAUGGACACGUUCAUGGAGGUCGGCUUAUUCCGGCACACCAUACCGGCUUGUUUCUGGAAGGUGAUGAGACGGCUAAACAUCGGUCCAGAGAGGAAGCUGGCCAUGGCGCAAACAGUGAUGCAUGCUUUCAUCAGGGAGAUGACUGAGAAGUCGAAAGCCAGGUGCACCGAUAUCCUUGAUGAUGUGUUGGCCAUGGACAUUAUUUCUGCUAACCCAUCAGUGGGCAGAGACGAUGUCCUACUACGUAAUGUACUCAUCGCUCACAUGAUCGCCGGGCGGGACACGGUUGGUACCACGCUACCGUGGGUAUUCUACAACCUCGCCAGGAACCCCCGUGUGGUCUCUUGCAUCCGCAAGGAACUGGCACCCAUCGCAUCACUCAAGGCCACUGCUCUCGCCUCCAAUAGCAUCAGCAGUAUGGUCGUCUUUGAUCCAAAGGAGACUGAACACCUAGUCUACCUUCAGGCAGCCUUAUUGGAGUCGCUCAGGUUGUACCCACCAGGCCCGAUCGAGCGCAAGGUGGUGCUAGCCGACGAUGUGCUCCCAAGUGGUCACCAGUUGUGCUCCGGUGAAACCAUCCUGAUCUCCAUCUAUGCCAUGGGUAGAAUGGAAUCCCUGUGGGGCAAGGAUUGCCAUGUGUACCGUCCGGAGAGGUGGCUGUCCGAGGACGGUGCUAAACUGCGUUACGUGCCGUCCAAUAAAUUCAUGGCGUUUAACACAGGGCCGAGGAUGUGCCUUGGCAAGGACAUAGCAAUUGCGCAGAUGAAGACCAUCGUUGCCGCGGUGGUGUGGAACUUUGAUAUGGAGGUGUUGGAAGGGCAGAGCAUCGAGCCAAAGCUGUCGUGCAUUCUUCAAUUGAAGAACGGGCUCAUGAUGAUGGUUAAGCAGAGAGAGUAAUCAAUGUGACAUGGAAUAAGCUAGGUGCAAUGCAACUACAGAUCGACUCAGUCCUAGCAUAUAUGGUUUGAACAAAAUAGUUAAAUCCAAACUUAUAAUGAAGUAAAUGGAGGCGUAACAUGUAUUUUCGUCAUUAAAUAAAGUCUACGGACGCCGUCGUUUGACCAUCUGAAAGCUGGGACCAUACCCAACUACAGACUCUUUGAUUUCAGUACGGAUAGUUUGUACUACUCCCUCUUUCUAAAUAAGUGAUGUUUUCAGAUUAUCUUAAGCUUAUUUGAAACUUUGAUGGCAUAUUAAUUGUUUUUCUAUGUGUAAAAGGUUUGGAUAAAUUUAUACAAGUAUAUUUAUGUUUAAUAGUAACUUCAUCAAAAGCAUCCGUUCACUUUAUGAAUAUUUUGUAACAAAAACUAGCCAUCACAGUUAUGUUUUUGAGGUAAUUUCAAUAUCAAAAACUUCAUUUAUGAGACCGGAGGAACUAACAUACAAAUACAAUGAAUGUAAAUACAAUAUGCCCUCCGGUGUCCUGGACUUCAUAAAUUGUAUCUGCAAUACUCAAGAGUUAAACGAAAGAGGGCGAUGUCAAUUUGAGUGUAUCUAAAGAGACUUAAAACAUUCAAAUGAUGAAUAUAAAUUGUAUCAAAUCAUAGUCCCUAUUAUACUUAUGUAAUUAGUACAAUUUAUUUAAGUUGGAACAUACCUUUUUUUUACCGUGUCUUGAUCCAAGUGCGCACGUGGGUUUUGCAUGUUUUUCCUGGUAGGAGGCACCUGACUAAUGCGGUGUCUGGAAGUUGUAUUAGGACACAAAGCGGACUGCGAUACACCAAUAUAUAUAUACAUGCAUAAUAAGUAAACAAUAUGCAAGCCAUACAAUACGUUGAGUUUCCAGGAAAACACCCCUCGAUACAAUCUGAGGUAACAGGCCCCUAGAUACAACUGUUAUUUUUUUUAUAGAAAUGCCAUUGUUGCUUAUAAUUCUUGACACGUACUGUGAUUAUGCUGAAUGUAGAUUCCUUGAGGAUCCUAUCGACGUCAACCAUUGCCACUGCCUGGAGCCGCAAGUCGUGGUAGAGUACUGAAUUAUGUUGGUGAACAAACCUGGAACAUGGACACCAAUUCGACAGGUUGAAUAGCAGAGCCCUCUUAUUUUUAAGAGAACAAAAAAAAUCAAGUCAGAUUACGGAGAGGUUCGAGUGACUUAAUUUAUUAAAGGACCACUUCACUGGACGGAUCUCCUAAUAUCCAACCUAAUUUUAAUUAUGAAAUAAUUGAAACAUAUCGAUCUGUCAUGAGCAACAAUUAUAUCAGGAUUGAAUUAGCAGUCACUGUUGAAAUUGCAAAUGACCAUCAACCAAACCUUAUUAUUAUAAGAUAACAGCAGUAAAACUGGCUUCUUUUUUCUUGUCUGCAAGAUGCUCUACUGGUGUAUCAUCAUAAGAAAAAAAUCCUAAGAAUGGUAGUGAAGAUGAGCAGUAGUAGCAGAGGUCGAUUUACCUAUUUGAUAGCCCUUUGCCACCUGUAGAGCUCUGGUGCAGUGAUUGUUUCCUUCUGUGUUUCAUCCUGGGCAACCACAGGAAAAUUGUCAAAGGAUCAUAAAUAAAAACAAACACACAAUGAAUGCUGUUAAUAUUACUAAUGGAAAACUAAAAAAUAUCAAGCAGUAGUAAUUUCAAGUGGCAACAACAGGAAAAUUGUCAAAGGAUCAUAAAUAAAAACAAACAGACAAUGCAUGCUGUUAAUAUUAGACUCAAAAUCUUUGGAAUUCAUUCCAUCAUGUUGACUUUUCAAUAUCACAACAUCAUUUGAAUUUUCUUCAGUGACAUGAUUUUGUACAGAAUUGAUACCAAUUUCUGUUGUGUCUGUUUUUCUCAUGCAGUGGAGUCACAACCACAAGUCAUUGAUGCAAAUGAAAAGAGAAGGAAAAGAGAUAGAGAGCGUUAUGCCAAAAUGACAGAUGAAGAAAAGCAGGAUAAACUGAAAAAACAAUGUGAAGCCUAUCAUAGAAGGAAAGGUAGAGAUGCAACACAGUACCAAAAAAAAUACGCAAAAGAGAGACAGAAAUAUGCAAAUAUGCAGUCGGAACAAAAGAAAGCUAGAAUAGAACAAGCCAUAACUAACCGUGAAAUGAGGAGCAGCAAAACAACGAAAGGUUCAAUUGCAAUGGAGAAUCCUGCAUAUAUUCAACAGAUAUGUCAGUUGAAGUCAGUACAUCUACCCUUAAUGUUAAACACAGGAAACAUGUGACGCCAGGAGAAAGGCAAACAUUGCUAGCCCGUCAAAAAAAAAUUCAUGAAAAAAUAAAAGGGGACAGUUUAUUCAUCAUCAGAAGAAGAUGAAACCAUGAGCGAAGAGGACAAUGACAUAGAAAUGCAAAAACAGCCAGAAAUCAUGAAUCUCAGUAAUAUUCUAAAUUCUAUACAAAACUUUCGCAUUUCAAUACAAUAUAUGCAAUACUUUAACAUUUGAAUAGACUACAUACAUCCAUAUAUUAUACUAACAAUCUCAAUCAAACAGAAAUACCCUCUUCAGUAUGCACAACCAUAGAAGACAUUGAUGCCCCAAAACAACUAACAAACGAUGAAGAUAAUGGUAAGGUUAUCAACUCCAAAGUAAAUUCUCACAUGAUACAAAAGAAACAAAAAUAUGUAUUCACAAAAAUCUGUACAGAUAAUGAUGGAGUGAUAUUUGAACAAGACACGAACGAGGAUGAUUACAUGUUCUCAUGUCAAGGUAUGCUUCAAUACUUUAAAAAAAUCCUUCCAUCAUUAUGUUAAUACUUUCCUAAAUUUUUUUAUAUAAAAAAAUUCAAAAGAAUUGGACACAGAUGUGGAUAUUGAAAUCAGAGAAGACGAACAAACUACUACAAAGAUCUCGGAUCCAUAUGACAUUGUCUACAUCAACAUACCAGACGACACAAACAUGCUGAAAAAUAAAGAAAAUUGCAUAUACUGCAAUGCAAAAAAAAUUGAGUAUGAAACUGAGGGGUUAUACUGCAGAAAAGGACAGAUUAGAUUAGACAAUCAAGAGACACCUCCUGAACUCAUGAGACUUUGGACAAGCAAUGAUUCUGAUGCAAGACAUUUUCGGAACAAUAUAAGAUUUUUCAAUGGACACUUCUCAUUUACAUCUCUUUAUUGCCACCUAGACAGUGAGACCACUGACAUGAAAAAAGCUGGUAUUUACACCUUUCAUGUAUCACAAUAUACAAUCAUUUGGAAAUAGUCGCUCAGAUCCAAAGCAUCUAGAGUUGUACUUGUACGAUGAUGAUCCAAGCCUAGAGCAUCGGUAUCGACAUUGCCGUGAAGAAAAGUACGAGCAAGACAAACAUGUAGUCACAAUUUUAACACAAGUUCUACAUGAAAACCCAUACUCUAAACAGUUUAGAAGUUUGGGACAAAACGAAAAGCUUGAUGACUACAUGCUGAUCUUGAACCUUGACCAAAGAUUAGACCAAAGAACAUACAGUGCACCAAUAACUUUAGAGGUAGCUGUAGUGUGGAUCGAGGGAAAUGAAAGAAGAAAUACCUUUGACAAGAAUGUAAAACUACAUGGAAACAACAACGAAAUAUAAGGCAUCAAAUCAUACUAUGGCUGCUAUGAUCCAUUGUCUUAUCCUCUAUUCUUUCCAAGAGCUGAACUCGGUUGGCAUUCAAAUAUCCCAAGGGCCAAUACAAUAUUGGAAGAAUUGAGAAAUGAUAAUUUUGAUCGCAACCAUAGUGACAAUGACCCAGGUUAGAAUUUCAUAUACUUUUGUCUUCUAAAUUUAGUUUACUAAUAUGAAACAACUACAUAAAUAUUCCUCUAACUUUAGCAUUCCAAUUCUUACACAGAUUCAAGCGGUAAGCUGUGGGUAACCAUGAGAGAAUAUUACUGUUAAAAAUUCCAUGCAAGACCAAGCAUAUUCAACCCGAUAUUGCAUGGUGGUAGACUUUUUCAGCAGUUUGCCGUUGAUACAUACAUCAAGAUUGAGAGCUUCAGAUUGGACUUCAUAUGGCAUCAUCAGAAAGAAAUAAGGGUAGAUCUAUACAAAGGCCUCCUGGAUAGCAUUCAAGAAGGAGAACAAAAGGAAGAUAAAGUAGGAAAACGAACGGUGCUAGCAUCAUCAUUUAUUGGAGGGCCAGAGAUAAAUUGCGAUGAUAUCUAGAUGCUAUGGCUUUAGUACGCAAAUAUGGAAAGCUAGACAUAUUCCUGCAAAUAUGGAAAGCUAGACAUAUUCCUAACAAUGACCUGCAACCCAAACUGGGAAGAGAUCACCCGAGAACUAGAGUUUGCACAAACACCUCAAGAUCGCCCAGAUCUCGUGGUUAGGGUUUUCAGGGCCAAACUAGAAGAAAUGAAGAAUCAAUUGUUUAAAAAGCACAUUCUUGGAAAGGUAAAGGCAUAUACCUAUGUUGUAGAGUUCUAAAAGAGAGGCCUACCUCAUGCACACUUCUUGCUGAUAAUGACCGGAAAAUUCAAGUAUACAUGUCCAGAGCAAUAUGACAGAAUAAUCUCUGCUGAGCUGCCAGACAAGCACGAGUAUCCGGAUCUAUAUAAAAUGGUCAUCAAACAUAUGAUGCAUGGUCCUUGCGGCAUAUUAAACAAAAAUUGCCCUUGCACAAAGAAUCGAGCAUCUUGCAAAAACAAUUAUCCAAGACCAUUUAAUGAAACUACGAUUCAAGGCAAGGACUCC